AACGAACGCUGGCGGCAUGCCUAACACAUGCAAGUCGAACGGAUGCAGCAAUGCAUCAGUGGCAGACGGGUGAGUAACACGUGGGAAUCUACCCAGUAGCCUGGAAUAACCGCGGGAAACUGCGGCUAAUACCGGAUACGCCCCUCGGGGGAAAGGAGCAAUCCACUAUUGGAGGAGCCCGCGUCCGGUUAGCUAGUUGGGGAGGUAACGGCUCACCAAGGCGAUGAUCGGUAGCUGGUUUGAGAGAACGACCAGCCACACUGGGACUGAGACACGGCCCAGACUCCUACGGGAGGCAGCAGUGGGGAAUAUAGGACAAUGGGGGAAACCCUGAUCCAGCAAUGCCGCGUGGGUGAUGAAGGCCUUCGGGUUGUAAAGCCCUUUUGGCGGGGACGAUGAUGACGGUACCCGCAGAAGAAGCCCCGGCUAACUUCGUGCCAGCCGCCGCCGUAA
rnacentral:rRNA from 1 species